GCACACCUUUGUUUUUUUUUUUUAAUUUUAUUUUUAGCUCUGCUUAUGAUAAUCUCAACAAAGUUCGAGUUGCUAUCAAGAAAAUCAGUCCUUUUGAGCACCAGACCUACUGCCAGAGAACCCUAAGAGAAAUAAAAAUCUUACUGCGCUUCAGACAUGAGAAUAUCAUCGGCAUCAAUGACAUCAUCCGGGCACCAACCAUUGAGCAGAUGAAAGAUGUAUAUAUAGUACAGGACCUCAUGGAGACAGAUCUUUACAAGCUCUUGAAGACACAACACCUCAGCAA